AUGUACCACUCGUACACUGCGGUUCCUGCGCGCCGUCCGCGCCCACCUGACGGCUGCUCGC
rnacentral:sRNA from 1 species